GACGAACGCUGGCGGCGUGCUUAACACAUGCAAGUCGAACGGAAAGGCCCUGCUUUUGUGGGGUGCUCAAGUGGCGAACGGGUGAGUAACACGUGAGUAACCUGCCCUUGACUUUGGGAUAACUUCAGGAAACUGGGGCUAAUACCGGAUAGGAGCUCCUGCUGCAUGGUGGGGGUUGGAAAGUUUCGGCGGUUGGGGAUGGACUCGCGGCUUAUCAGCUUGUUGGUGGGGUAGUGGCUUACCAAGGCUUUGACGGGUAGCCGGCCUGAGAGGGUGACCGGCCACAUUGGGACUGAGAUACGGCCCAGACUCCUACGGGAGGCAGCAGUGGGGAAUAUUGCACAAGGGGCGGAAGCCUGAUGCAGCAACGCCGCGUGCGGGAUGACGGCCUUCGGGUUGUAAACCGCUUUCGCCUGUGACGAAGCGUGAGUGACGGUAAUGGGUAAAGAAGCACCGGCUAACUACGUG
rnacentral:rRNA from 1 species